rnacentral:rRNA from 1 species
GACGAACGCUGGCGGCGUGCUUAACACAUGCAAGUCGAGCGGUAAGGCCCUUUCGGGGUACGACGAGCGGCGAACGGGUGAGUAACACGUGGGUGACCUGCCCUUACGCUCUGGGAUAAGCCUGGGAAACUGGGUCUAAUACCGGAUAUGACUCCAUGACGCAUGUUGUGGGGUGGAAAGCCUUGUGCGGCUAGGGAUGGGCCUGCGGCCUAUCAGCUUGUUGGUGGGGUGAUGGCCUACCAAGGCGACGACGGGUAGCCGGCCUGAGAGGGCGACCGGCCACACUGGGACUGAGACACGGCCCAGACUCCUACGGGAGGCAGCAGUGGGGAAUCUUGCGCAAUGGGCGAAAGCCUGACGCAGCGACGCCGCGUGGGGAUGACGGCCU